UUUGAGAGCUAGUAGAGAUAAGCCGUCGGAAUUGAGAGAGGAACAAAAGCUCAUGCAGACAAAGAUUGAAGUAACAAGAACAAAAAGUAAGGAAGCAGAGCAACGAGAAGUUGCAGGGGAAGAUGAUAAACAGUGAAGACGAAGGAGAAGAAUAAUGAGAGAUUUGACCGAUGUUGGAUUCUUUAAAAAUGGUUUCAUUUCAUGUAAGCAACGUGGAGUAAUGUAGUCAUUCAUUCAUGAUCAGUUUUUUGAAUUCUUGUGCACAGGAAUAUCAUUUUGAAAUGAUAAAAUAAUAUAAUACUCCUGUAUAGUUUUGAAA